UCCGCGCUUCGGUCGGUGACACCGGGCGGAGGGGUCCGGAUGGGCAGGGCGGGGCAGGGUGCUGGCGGCUCAGGGGUGGUAAUGGCUUUAGUCACCGGAUAACCCGGACUCUGGCCUGGUGAGUCGGCCCCGAUACCCCUGCACGGUCUGCGCGUUGGUGACAGUCCGGCGGUCGGCGACACCGGAGUGUAACAAAGUGACUCUGAACCGGGCAGCUUCCCAGUUUGAGCGCCUGGGGUUUCCGGAAAGCUCCGAGCGCGCGUGGGUGUCGGGGUGUAGCCUAGAAAGGCAUGCCUAGCCCUGACCUCACUUCGCCGGGUUUACAGUAAUCUGGAAAAUCCCUAGUUCCAAAAAUAGGUUUAUGGCGAGGACAGUACACGGGCGAUUUCAUUGCGCUGGGGAGUCUCGUCUUAAAGAGAUGGUUUUUGUCAGAGUGGAGAGAAAGUAACUAUCCCUGUGUCAAUGAAGAGAAAAACACAGCUCUCAUCUUACAUGGAGUUUGGAAUAACCUAAAUCUGUGUUCCGGGACCAUGGUCAAUCAAAAUGGCUCCAGGAUAACCCAUCAUUUAUUCCCUUUAAGAUGAGAGCUGUGGUUUUUUUGUUUUUUUCGAGACAGUUUCUCUGUAUAGUUCUGGCUGUCCUGAAACUCACUUUGUAGACCAGGCUGGCCCUGAACUCAGAAAUCCGCCUGUCUUUGUCUCCCGAGUGCUGGGAUUAAAGGCGUGCGCCACCACCGCCUGGCUGAGAGCUGUGGUCUUUUUCCAUCCAUACUAAAAGUCCCAAAAGCUGAGGUCGACCGUGAAACAAUUGAUCCUUCUGCCUCUGGCCUCCCAUGAUCUUUUUAUUCCAGCUUAAUCCUCUGAGAUGGCCUUUAGGGAGAAAGAAAAAUCUCCUGACUCAGUACAAAGGGUUGGAAUUGUUAUUUUGUUAAAGCUUACUUUCUUGAAAAGUGUCUUAACCUUGGACCUAUAGAGCGCACUGAAAAUUUGGAUACAUCUUAGUCACCAAAGCAAGGUAUUUUCACAGCUCAUUUUUACAAAGUGUGUUGGGACGGGCACUCUGGAGACAAAGACAGGUGGAUCUCUGAUUAGAGGGUCAGACUGAUUCCAAGCCAGUAAGAGCUAUAUAAUAUCUUCAAAAUGAAACAAAACCUCUUCCAAACAAAAGCUAUAUAGAGCAGGAAGUGGUGGCACAAGCCUUUAAUCCCAGUACUCAACUAAAGCCUCAAAAACAAAAAUUUUAUGAUUGUGAUAGCUUUUUGUCACUGACAGAUUACCUAGAAAGUCCACAAUGAGGUUUAAUUUUGGUUUAUGGUCUCUGAGGUUUCAGGCUACAGCCAUGUGGCCCUAUACCUGUAGGACUGUGUAGGCAGAACUUUAUGGUGUGAGACCUUGGUAAAAACAAAUCCCUUGCCACCAACAAAGAGAAAGGGGAAUAUAUCCAGGGAUCUCCCUCCUCAAGUAGGUUGCCAACUCCUAAUUGCUUGUCCAGCUGUGACCUCAUCGUCGGAUUAACCCAUUUAUGAGGUAUUUGCCUUUGUGAUUAAAUCACCUCUCAGUGCUACUAACUAAGGACAAGCUCUUCACAGGGUCUGUAUGUGGCAGGCAUUUCAUAUCCAAACUUUCUGUGACAGCAUAGGAGACACAAGUCCAGGGGACAGGAAUUUAAUAACACACCACAAAAAUUGAGCCUGAAAUUAAGCUCCAGAAGAAGGACUUCUGGGGCUGGAGAGAUGGCUCAGCAGUUAAGAGCACUGACUGCUCUUCCAGAGAUCCUGAGUUCAAUUCCCAGCAACCACAUGAUGGCUCACAACCAUCUAUAAUGGGAUCUUUUGCUCUCUUCUGGGGUGUCUGCAGACAGCUACAGUGUUUAGAACAUGCCACAUGUUUCAAACCAUUCUCUUUUUCAAACUGACCAACUCUAAAGUAGAGGAGUAAGACUCUUCAGAGGCUUUAAAACCCCCAUCCCCAAGAAGAGAUUUCAUUUUCAGAGUGUCAUCCUCUUUGCUUUGCAGAGGAUUUUUUUUCUCUGUGUGUUUGCUACCUGGGUGUGCCCCUCACCCUCAAUAAACACCUUCCUUUAACUGUUGGCUCUGUUUGUGGUGCUUGAGACUUCCUGUUGCUGCUUGAUGCCUCCAGGGUUUUCUUG
rnacentral:lncRNA from 1 species